rnacentral:rRNA from 1 species
GAUGAACGCUAGCGGCAGGCUUAACACAUGCAAGUCGAGGGGUAUAAGGAGCUUGCUCCUCAGAGACCGGCGCACGGGUGCGUAACGCGUAUGCAACCUACCUUUCACAGGGGGGAUAGCCCAGAGAAAUUUGGAUUAAUACUCCAUGGUAUAAUUGGAUGGCAUCAUUUGAUUAUUAAAGUUCCAACGGUGAAAGAUGG